rnacentral:lncRNA from 1 species
AACACAUCACAGGUCGUUCAAACUUGACCCAUCCAAAUCACUCUCAAAUUAACAAAUUUCUCACAGGACUAAGAAACCACCAAGAUAACUGAUAAGUUUUUUGCUUAAUGACUUCCUCGUUUGGAGAUAAACCACAUAACUUUUGCUCCCAGAGUUCAAGGCCAGCGUAGCAGCAGCAUGCUUCACGCUAACAUUUCUCACAGCGAAUGAUGUAUAUCUUCAAAGUUCAACACAUAAAUCCCAUGAAAAAUAAAGAUGUUCACUCAAAUCAACCUUAGAAACACAUAAUAAAAUUUUCAAACUCAAACCGUCCAAAUUACUCUGAAAUUAACAAAGUACUGGUAGAAGUAAUAAAAUACUAAGAUAAUAGCAGAUAAGUUUCUUGCUCUACGACUCCCUCGUUCAAGAUAUGCCACAUCCCAACGUACAUAGUUUUCCACCACCAGGGUUCAUGAUCACCACCAGGGUUCAUGAUCACCAAAGCAGAAGCAUGCAAUACAUGCUUCAGGCUAACAUUCCUCACGGCGAAUAAUAUGGAUCACCAUAGUCAGAGGCUCCUUGUUCUUUAUCAGCUUGAAGAGACAGAGGUCCCCCUCCCUCAGGCGGUUGUCGCGGGCGAAAAACGUCCAUCCUUUGAGAACCUUCACCACAUGAGUUGUGUGUUGCAUGUUGUGUUUCAAAUUGGUUGGCCAUGAUCUGCUCUUCUCCUCCCGCUGAAGCACCAAACUGAUCACACUACUCUUUCCACGAUGAUAGCCAGCAGCAGACUUCUGAACAAGAUAUCUGCUUGAGUAUUGCGAGCCAAAGCGCUGUUUAUACAGAUAAGGCAGGGCAAAAGUUAGAAUGUCACAAAUAUAGAGAUACAUGGAGAUUUUUUCCCAUCUGUACAGUACUGAUAGGCAGCGACAGAAAAUGUUAUCCAUGAACUUACUAGGGUGGGGGUGUUAUAGGAACCACCCCGACAGACAUUGGACUUGCGCAUGAUAGCAACAUACAAGGGCAGUUCUGACUCGAUUUCCUCGACUUUCUCCAAGACUUUCUUCUCUUGUGCCCAUGUUAGGCAAGCUUUGUCUGCCAGCAUGAAGGGAGGUUCAGAACCUCCCUCAGAAUCAUCAGAGACUUCAUGUUCCUCAUGUUCCGAAGAGUACUCUUCACCUGGACAAGUUGUCACAUGAAUCAGAGAAGUAUAAUGCGAAAUGAAAUGUGACACAUGCAUCCUAGCAGUGGCAAGACAUAGUGUCAAGCUGACAUACCAUCGGUAGGUGGUUCCUCCACAUCACCUGCCUUUUUUGUGCUUGUCCUUCCAUGAUUUGAGCCAAUGCCAGUUCUUGCACCAGGGGAAUGAUUAAUGCUCGUUUUGCUAAGGAGAUGGACAGUCAUUGUGAAUCUUUUCUGCUUGACAUUUGUCAUUGGUUGAAAGAGGCAGAUAUCGCCUUCUCUGACAGGAUUGUCACGGACAAAGUUCCCUAAAUAAAGGUUGCGCCGACCAGCAUCAGACGUUCUAGAUGGCCUGUUAUAGAGUUUGCACUUCCAAACCUUGUUUUUCCUAGGCAGCUGGAGUAUGAUAGUGAUACUCCAGCAUGGCAAGUGCUCGAGUGCGUAAUCCUUACAUAUUGCCUAGUUGAAAAAGUUAUAGAAAGUGAUAGUGAUACUGUUGAGCUGUUUCAUCUCAUAGCCCAAGUACUAAAUAGAUAAGACAUUAGGACUACCAGAAAGUCUAAAUCGUUCCAAUACGCAUGGUUUCAACUGAUAAGGCAACAAUAAUACUGAUUUAGUUCUGAACUUUGUGUAUAUCCAUGGUUUCAACUGUGUGCAUAUAUUCAUUUUGUGCAAACAUCUAUAGAGUAAGGCCAUAAAUAGAAAACAAAUUGUACAUGGCUACAGAAAGUGAGCAGUUUAUACAAAAUGUGAUGGUAAAGCUUACGUACCAGAGUAUGGCUAUUGUUUACAAUGCUCUUCUUCAUCUGGACAACAAGCACCGGGAUUUCAGGUCGAAUUUUCUUUACAAGUCCAAGCAUUUUUACCUCCUGUGCUUCUGUAAGAUAGCACUGCCCUGACAAGACAUAAUACUUUGAAAGCUUCUGUCGAUCUGACUCCAAAGAAUUGUCUUCUGCUGUAAAAAAAAUCCAACCGUAAGAGAACAUGUGGUGGAGAGUAACUGAAUAAUCUGAGGACACUACUUAACCUGAGAAUUCCUCAGAAGAAUUACACAUUGCAGGCAUCUUUGCUGAUUUUCUGUAACAGUACGAGCUUUCCUUCUGGCUUCCAUCUGAAUCUGAACAUUCAUCUGCUGAUGACUGAGUAGUACCAUCAUGAGAACUGCUCGAAUUAUCAACAUAGCGACUGCUUGGUUCAUUAACAUCAGAGGCUGCUUUCACCCGGCACAGCAUAAGACUUUCUCCUUACCAUUGGAAUCAAAUAUUAUAACCUCAAAGAGGGCGUUUCCAAGGUACCGAAACAUCAAGGUAUAAUUUUCUUCUAUUUGAUUGGCAUCAACAAAUGAUGCCCAACCAGAUUUCAGCAUUGUUCGAUUCAUAUUCUCAGUAACUGCAACAUCAUAUAUGUUACCAUUGGGGGUUUGUAGUUUGAUGGAUCUCGAGAUCUUCCCUCCAAACUGAUUCACAAACCACUUAGGCAUGACCUGUAACAAGCAGUAAUUGUUUCAAUGCAACGAAAAAACUCUAAAAACAUCAGGCAACCACUGAAGUAGGGAAGUUAGAAAAGGCUUACCAAGCUAUGCAUAAAAUUUCCGUUUAUUUUUCUGAUGAACCUUAUCUUCCUCUCACAGUAUUCGCAAGGGUUGCUCAUCUUGGAUCCUGUAAUAUGAAUCACAUACAAUGCAAAGUUUUAAAUAGUCGGCUAUAGUGGUUUGAGCAGGGUGCCUCUAAAUGGUAUUCAUGUACAAUUGUCCGACAAAGUUGCAAAAUGGUGGGCUAUAGCACCGCUAUAGCUAUUUGAGCAGGGUGCCGCUAUUUAAAACUAUGGUACUAUUCAAAUUUCAGUUUGCGUAACUAGUACUACCCUAAAAUCAGUUAAGAUUGAUAACUAUGUCCUAAACUCUUUUGAGGGUAAGGUGAGUCUUUCUUUGUUUAAAUAUAUAACAGAAGCAACAAAAUGCUGUGAACACUACAUAACUAAUGCUGGCCUUAGAAUCUGUUUUGAUUCUUGUGUAAAAAGAAAGCAAAAGAACAAGAAAAUAAAAUUAGAAAUACUGAUGUUCUACGAAGGUGUGCUAGUAUAAGAAAAGACAUGAUUAUACUGCAAACAAGAGGUCAACUUGGCAGAAGAAGCACUGAUGCAUGCAAUAAUUUUCUGACUGGGUCUAUUGAUCACUACGAUUCGUUUCUGAUGUUGCAUGUGCAGAUCUAAAUAAGUCACAGAUAUGACUUAGAGGAACUAAAAGACUGAUGGUUAACAACCAUAGAACAAUCAGUUUCUGAAAUUCCUAUGAGUGUACAACAUGACUGUUUUAUACUACAUUCCUAUCAGUUUUCGAAAUUUAGCACAAAUACAAGGGAAGCCGAAUAACAAAAGGACAGACCCUGUGCAUAGAAGCUCCCACACAAGGUGGGAUUUGGGGAGGGGUUAUAGGAACCUACUCUUACCCCUGCAAAGUUCAAUGCAGAGAGGCUGGUUCAAACCCAGAACCUCUUGGCACAGGCCGAAUAACAAAGGAAAAAAUACUGCUGCUCUAUGAAGGUGUGGAAGUAGAACAUGCGUGACUAAAUUGUAAACAAAGAAAUCUUUCUGAUGCAUGCAAUAGUUUUCUAGGUGGAUGUAGUGAUUACUAUGCUCCGUUUGUGAUGCUACUAGGGGGACAAAUGCAGAUCUAAAUCAAUAACUGAUAUCUCUUUAAAAGGGAAAAAAAUUACUGAUGGUUAACAACCAUAGAACAAUCAGCUUCUGAAAUUCCUACAUAGUAUAACAAGAUUCCUAACCCCGCAAAAAAACAAACAAGAUUCCUACCAAGUUCUGACAAUGAGCUAAAACAAAAAGGAAAGCAAAACAACAAUUUUUUUAAAAAAAAUACAGCUGCUCCAUUGAGGUGUAGAAGAAGAAAAAACGUGACUAAAUUGCAAACAAAGAGAGCAACUUGGAAGAAGAAGCUUACCGUUGUGAUGAAGGCUGCUGCGCUGUACUAGGGAAUACUACAGUCUGGGCUUACUUAUGAAGGGGGGCGUCCAGGCACUGCAAGGGCACACACAGGUCAAAAGUCAUUUAUGAAGGGAGCUGUAUGCAGUCUUGUCAUAUUUCCAAGACAUAAAUCUGAGUAGUACUACUAUCGAGUAGAUUAAUGUCAUGCUCACCCUCCUUAAUUACCGUGAUUUGACAAAAAACUAGAGAGGCUAUUUCCCAACAGUACUACUGAAAUCAAACUAUCAAAGAGGCAACACUGCAUGCAAACUUCUCAUAUUCCCCAAAAAUCAGUUUCCCUAUAGCCGCUUUCUCAAAACUCAAAGUAGUUUGCCCACGCGUGGAAAAUUUGCAAAAAAAUAUUUCUUGCCUGUUUCUUGAUAAUGCUACUUUCACAUCAGAGCUUGAGCCUUAAUGCCAUAUACUCAGAUUGAUUGGAUAUUGCAGGUGUCUUCUAAGUUCUAACCCAUGUCAGAUUUUUUUUUCCAAAAAGGAGAUUAUACCGCUGGCCUCCACCGUUUAUUCAUUUAUUCUAACUCAUUCAGAAGAUGUGUCUAGCUUUAGGUCCAAAUUAUGCAAUUUCAAAACUAUUUCAUUGUACAUAGCUUUGACAUGUUUAAUUAAAGCGGAUGUGCACAGUAUGCACAAAAUGGUGCAUCCAUUGAUGAGUUCAUCUGAAUUAUAAAUUCUGAAUAGUACUGCCUGUAUGAACCGGAAAGCAGCAUGGUGGGAACCAAUUUCAGAAGUUCAUAGCCCGUUAGGCUAAUAAAAAUCACUGUGGGCAAAGUACUAACAAUAGAUGGGAAACUGAAGAGAUUCUCAUGAUAAAAUAGGGGUAACAGAGCCAAGACUUCACCAAUGGCUAUAUAUAAUCCGGUGUCCAACUGAUUAACUAAUGAAAAGAACAUACAACAUAUAUCAACAUAGAUGCUCAAACAGGUCAAAGAAAACAAGAGGCUCAAUUACAACAGGGGAAGAUAUUAUAGUUUCUCAUAUUCUGACAAGUUAACCCAAUCUUAUUACCGAUUAAAACUGUGACAAUUACUAGCUAAUAUUGUACUAGAACCAAUGAGGAAUGUCUAAUCACAAACUCUGGCCACUGGGUCUGGGCGCCAUUGCAGAUUAGCUAGUAUGUUUGGACCUUGAGGGCGGCUUGAAGACGCAAAGGCGGAUGCCGAGCACGACUCUCCAUGAUGGUCGCACCUCCAUCCUUCGCCCUCCCCGCCUGCCAUCCUCACGCAACCGAAUCAUCGCCUAUUUUGAAGCAAAAUAUUUCUUGCCUAUUUUCUUGAUAUUGGUGCUACUUUCACAUCAGAGCUUGAACCGGAAAAUGCCAUGCCAUAUACUCAGAUUCAAAGGAGAUUGUGUCUUCUAACCUAUGUUGGAUUUUUUUCUCUGAAAUGAAAAGGAGAUUAAACCGCUGGCCUCUGCAUAAAUCAAUGCAAACCGUUUGUUCAUUUAUUCUAACCCAUUCAGAAGAUGUGUGUAGCUUUAGGUCCAUAUUAAGCAAUUUCAAAAUUAUUUCAUUGUAUAGCUUUGACAUGUUUCAUUGGUGCCAUGAGUACUGAAUAAAUUAAAACGGCUGUAUCCAUUGAUCAGGUCACGUGAAUUCCAAAUUCUAAAUACUGCGUGUAGUAACCAGAAAGUAGCAAGGACCACUUUCAGAAGUUUAUACCCACUAAGUUAGUAAAAAUCACUGUGGACAAAGUGCUAACAAUAGAUGGGAAACCAAAGAUAUUCUCACGAUGCAAUACGGUAACACAACCAAGACAUUACCAACAGCUAUAAUCCAGCGUCCAACUGACUAACUGAACAUGAUAUCAAUGUGGACUCUCACAUAACAGAGAAAAAUAUUAUAGCUUCUCAUAUUCUCACAUGUUAACCAAAUCCCAUUAUCGGCUAAAACAAUGGCAAGUAGUACUAGAUAAUAAUAAUGUAAUAGAGUCAGUGUGUAAUUUCUAAUCACAUACUCUGGCUACUGGGUCUGGGUGUCAUUGCAGAUUAGCUAGUAUGUUGGACAAAAUCCCAUUAUCGCCGGCAGGAGUUGCAGAACAGUUUGAACAACCAUUAUGCACUGCCUCAAAUUCUGUGAGAACCCACAAGCAAAAACAGUGCCCUCAAACAAGAGCAAGUUAGCAACAAAUCACAGGUUGUUCAAACUUGACCCAUCCAAAUUACUCUCAAAUUAACAAAGUCUCACAGAACUAAGAAACCCAACAAGAUAAUCGUCCAAUGAUAUAGAUUAGAGUUUCAUGCUCAACGACUCCCUUGUUUUGGAGACGAGCCACACAGUUUUCCACUCCCAGACUGACCCAAAGUUCAACAUUGUUGUAGGAGCAGCAGAAUCAAGACAUGCUUCAGGAUAACAUUUCUAGCGGCGGACGAUGUAAACCCACAUUGUCAGAAGCUCCUCACACUUCAGCAGCUUGAAGAGGCAGAGGUCCCCCUCCCGCAGGUGGUUGUCGCGGGCGAAAGAUGGCCAUCCUUUGAGAACCCUCGAGCCUUGCGAGCUAUGCCGCAGCUUGGUAGGCCAUGACCUACUCUUGCCCUCCCGCAGAAGCACCAACUCGACUCCUCUACGUUUUCCACAAGGAUGGCCACCAGAAAACUUCUCAACAAGAUACCUGGUUGCGUACUGCGAGCCAAAGCGCUGUUCAUAUACAUAACAGAGGGCAAAUGUUAGAAUGACACAGAUGCAGACAUACGUGGCAAAUUUAUUCCUAUUUAUCUUAUCAUUUUACCAAAGGAUACGGAUG